UGCAACUCAUGAAGACAUCGGUGCCAUACCUGCCUAGAGAAGAUGUACUACAUCAAAUAUAGUCAGCAGUGUCUUCAUCUUGAUCAUAUAUAGGUAACAUUCAUCCACCAACCCCCUCCUCAAAUCCCCGAUCUGACAUCCAUAUGCGAUAUUACAUGGGCUAACCAUAGAAAAAAACUUGCAAUUAAGAGGCGCCCAACUUUUCCAUGAAUCUAAGAGCUCCUUCUCACAACAUUAGAUAGGUAGAUGAUGACGUGUAUAUUAAGGCCUUGCUCCAAUUCCAGAUUGCCUCAUUGUCGGAGUUAUGCUUAAACCCAGUGGCGGAGCUAGCAUUUGAGACCAGGGUGGUCCGUCCCAAUUUAACAUGUGAACGUUCUAACUAAUUAUCAAUAUCAAAAAGAAAUAUAUCGAUAUGGUUUUACGAACACACUAAAAUUCUCAAUAAAUCUGAGCUUUUCAUAAAGAAGCCUACAUAGUAAAUACUACAUGGACCAUAGUACAUACCUUGAGAACUUCAAAAAGACUGUUUAUGGCCCAUGCUUUUGCUCUAUGGUCACAUUCGUCAUAGAAACUGUUGGUUCAUGAGUUUGCUCUUCAAUCACAACCGGCAUACGCACCAGUUCUCCGGUUUGCUCUUCGGCAACAUGCGGCACAUUCCCUGCCUUCUUCUUCUUCCCUGUAUUAAUAGCUUCUCUCUGGAAAAGAGAAACAAUGUCGCUGGUCCUAUUCAUUCUUCAAUAAUUCUGUAAUAAAAAUUCCUUUCUAUCAAUACACAAUAAACAAGUAAAUUGAGGCAUUAUGUGUAAACUGAAAGUAAUGGAGGAAGAAAUGAUAGUUGGCUUCAUUCAAGACAGCUAUAAUGAAAUAAUUGAGGCAAAAUUCAAGACUGAAUUAAGCAAAGUCCUUAAAGUCAUUAUGUAUGUGUUCAUCGGUUCAUGUAAAAAAGCAAACCCCAAGUCUGAAAUUGAGGUAUUUGGGUACCUCAAAUCGGUCAGGGGUUUGCCUGCCACCGUGGUGGGGAUUUGCAGGGGGCGGCCGGGCCGGCGGGACGCCGGGACAGCAGGGGCGCGGCUAGACCGGG
rnacentral:lncRNA from 1 species